CCGAGUUUACACUCCCAAACCCACCGCGAACCCUACCUCUCCGUUGCUUCGGCGGGACAGCCCCGGGCCCCCGGCCCGGAACCAGGCGCCCGCCGGAGGCCCCCCAAACCUCCUGCUUUCUACCAUCGGAAUCCUUCUGAGUGGCCCCUAGCGGCGAAAAAACAAAUGAAUCA
rnacentral:misc_RNA from 1 species